UGGGGAAUCUUGCGCAAUGGGCGAAAGCCUGACGCAGCGACGCCGUGUGUGCGAUGAAGGUCUUCGGAUCGUAAAGCACUGUCGCGAGGGAAAAAACCGAAAGGGCGAUGGUACCUCGAAAGGAAGCACCGGCUAACUCUGUGCCAGCAGCCGCGGUAACACAGAGGGUGCAAGCGUUGUUCGGAAUUAUUUGGCGUAAAGCGCAUGUAGGCGGCCCGUUAAGUCGCGUGUGAAAGCUCCAGGCGCAACAUGGCAAGUUCGCACUAAGCUGGUGGGCUUGAGUGCCGGAGAGGGGGGCGGAAUUCCCGGUGUGUAGGUGAAAUACGUAGAGAUCGGUAGGAGCACCAGAGUCGAAGACGGCGACCUGGACGGACACUGACGCUGAGAAGCAAAAGCGUGGGGAGCAAACAGG
rnacentral:rRNA from 1 species